GAUUAACAAAAAGAAGGGAACAGUUGCAGCCCAUUUCCUGCAUGGGCCUGUGUGUGCUGGCUCCUAAAGUACUGACUCCAGCUGAAGUCAACACCUUGUGAUUCAUGAACUUCCUCACCCUCACGUUGCACUGGAGGCCGCCUACUUCCUGUGCGACUGGAGCUGUAGUACUUUGUCCUGAUUUUCCUGACUCGACACAACGGAGUCUGUUUUAAAAAAAAAAAAAAAGCCCCAAAAUAGAG